rnacentral:RNase_P_RNA from 1 species
GUUUUCGGAUAAUCGCGCGUCGUUUUAUAAAUUUAUUUGUGAAAGUGCGUGAGGAAAGUCCAGGCUCGUCCAGGCUGCGAUGCGUGGAGUGAUUGUGUCAGGCGAAUCAAUAAGCCUGAGUAGGGCGUCAACCCUAACGGCGGUGAAAUGAACUAAGUCUUUUUUAGAUAUGACAGAUUAGCCAUAAAGUGCCAUAGAGACGAAUCGACUUGGAAACGAGUCGGCUGGAACGUGGUAAACCCCUCAAGCGAGCAACCCAAACUACGGUCGGGGCAUUUGACUAGCCGAACUGAAGGCGCGGUCAAGCAUGUAUUAUGUAAUAUAUGAGACAGAUGAUUAUCCCGCAUUUGCGGACAAAACUUGGCUUAUAGAA